rnacentral:rRNA from 1 species
AACGAACGCUGGCGGCAUGCCUAACACAUGCAAGUCGAACGAUUGCCUUCGGGUGAUAGUGGCGCACGGGUGCGUAACGCGUGGGAAUCUGCCCUUAGGUUCGGAAUAACAGCUGGAAACGGCUGCUAAUACCGGAUGAUAUCGCGAGAUCAAAGAUUUAUCGCCUGAGGAUGAGCCCGCGUUGGAUUAGGUAGUUGGUGGGGUAAAGGCCUACCAAGCCGACGAUCCAUAGCUGGUCUGAGAGGAUGAUCAGCCACACUGGGACUGAGACACGGCCCAGACUCCUACGGGAGGCAGCAGUGGGGAAUAUUGGACAAUGGGCGCAAGCCUGGUCCAGCAAUGCCGCGUGAGUGAUGAAGGCCCUAGGGUUGUAAAGCUCUUUUACCCGGGAAGAUAAUGACUGUACCGGGAGAAUAAGCCCCGGCUAACUCCGUG